rnacentral:rRNA from 1 species
AUACGUAGGGUGCGAGCGUUAACCGGAAUUAUUGGGCGUAAAGCGUCCGUAGGCGUUCUAAAAAGUCUGAUGUAAAAUUUUGGGGCCCAACUCCAAACGUGUAUCGGAAACUUUUAGAAUAGAGAAGUUCAGAGGCAAGUGGAAUACUGUGUGUAGGGGUAAAAUCCGUAGAUACGCAGUGGAACACCAAAAGCGAAGGCAGCUUGCUGGGAACUUUCUGACGCUGAGGGACGAAAGCGUGGGUAGCGAACGGGAUUAGAAACCCCAGUAGUCC